UACGUAGGGUGCAAGCGUUAAUCGGAAUUACUGGGCGUAAAGCGUACGCAGGCGGUUUGGCAAGUCGGAUGUGAAAACCCGAAGCUCAACUUCGGGCCUGCAUCCGAAACUGCCCGACUAGAGGUAGGUAGGGGAGAUCGGAAUUCCUGGUGUAGCGGUGAAAUGCGCAGAUAUCAGGAGGAACACCGGUGGCGAAGGCGGAUCUCUGGGCCUUACCUGACGCUCAGGUGCGAAAGCUAGGGGAGCGAACAGG
rnacentral:rRNA from 1 species